rnacentral:misc_RNA from 1 species
GCAAACUUGGUCAUUUAGAGGAAGUAAAAGUCGUAACAAGGUUUCCGUAGGUGAACCUGCGGAAGGAUCAUUAUUGAGUUUUGGGUCGAAAAAUUCGUUUUUUGUGCCCACAAUCUCCCAACCCUUUGUUUAAUGAAAAACUUUUGUUGCUUUGGUCAAUGGAUUUCGAUCCUUGACCAAUAGCCAAUUUUAAUUCUUCAAUUUUUUAACCAUGAAGUCUGAAUUUUUAAUUAAAAUUUAAUUAAAACUUUCAACAACGGAUCUCUUGGUUCUGGCAUCGAUGAAGAACGCAGC